rnacentral:rRNA from 1 species
ACGCACGCUGGCGACGUGCUUAACACCUGCAAGUCGAACGGAAAGGCCCUGCUUUUGUGGGGUGCUCGAGUGGCGAACGGGUGAGUAACACGUGAGUAACCUGCCCUUGACUUUGGGAUAACUUCAGGAAACUGGGGCUAAUACCGGAUAGGAGCUCCUGCUGCAUGGUGGGGGUUGGAAAGUUUCGGCGGUUGGGGAUGGACUCGCGGCUUAUCAGCUUGUUGGUGGGGUAGUGGCUUACCAAGGCUUUGACGGGUAGCCGGCCUGAGAGGGUGACCGGCCACAUUGGGACUGAGAUACGGCCCAGACUCCUACGGGAGGCAGCAGUGGGGAAUAUUGCACAAUGGGCGGAAGCCUGAUGCAGCAACGCCGCGUGCGGGAUGACGGCCUUCGGGUUGUAAACCGCUUUCGCCUGUGACGAAGCGUGAGUGACGGUAAUGGGUAAAGAAGCACCGGCUAACUACGUG